GGAUUGUGGCUCACUGGUAGAGUGCUUGCCUCUCAUGCAUGAAGCCCUGGGUUUGAUCCUCAGCACCA
rnacentral:tRNA from 1 species